UACGAAGGGGGCUAGCGUUGUUCGGAUUUACUGGGCGUAAAGCGCACGUAGGCGGAUCGUUAAGUCGGGGGUGAAAUCCUGGAGCUCAACUCCAGAACUGCCUUCGAUACUGGCGAUCUUGAGUCCGGAAGAGGUGAGUGGAACUCCUAGUGUAGAGGUGGAAUUCGUAGAUAUUAGGAAGAACACCAGUGGCGAAGGCGGCUCACUGGUCCGGUACUGACGCUGAGGCGCGAAAGGCGUGGGGAG
rnacentral:rRNA from 1 species